CACAUGGACUGAGGACUAACCUUAAAACCAAGAAAGACAUUUCUAAGUCACAGAAUUUCUGACCUCACAGAUCCGGCAUAAUGCCGAUCAAUGGACCAAGUUACCCCUAGGGAUAACAGCUGCUAUCCCCUUUAAGAGUCCAUAUCGACUCAAGGGGGUUUACGACCUCGAUGUUGGAUUCAGGACAUCCCUAAUGGUGCAGACCGCUAUUAAGGGUUCGGUUGUUCACGAUUAAGUCCUACGUGAUCUGAGUUCAGAC
rnacentral:rRNA from 1 species